AGCGAACGCUGGCGGCAGGCCUAACACAUGCAAGUCGAACGAACUCUUCGGAGUUAGUGGCGGACGGGUGAGUAACACGUGGGAACGUGCCUUUAGGUUCGGAAUAACUCAGGGAAACUUGUGCUAAUACCGAAUGUGCCCUUCGGGGGAAAGAUUUAUCGCCUUUAGAGCGGCCCGCGUCUGAUUAGCUAGUUGGUGAGGUAAAGGCUCACCAAGGCGACGAUCAGUAGCUGGUCUGAGAGGAUGAUCAGCCACAUUGGGACUGAGACACGGCCCAAACUCCUACGGGAGGCAGCAGUGGGGAAUCUUGCGAAAUGGGCGAAAGCCUGACGCAGCCAUGCCGCGUGAAUGAUGAAGGUCUUAGGAUUGUAAAAUUCUUUCAACGGGGACGAUAAUGACGGUACCCGGAGAAGAAGCCCCGGCUAACUUCGUG
rnacentral:rRNA from 1 species